GAUCGAUUGAUGUUAUCCAAGCGGAUUGCAUUUUGUUCAUCAACUCAUUAAUGUAAUUACAAUUUGAAUCUAAUUUAAUCGAUGAGAACAGAGUUCAUACCUUCUUCUCGAUGGGGUUUGCGGAAAAUUUUACAUCAAUUUCUCAAAGGAUCUCAAGAUCUGAAUCGGGUGUAGGAGGGGAAGAAAUCAAAUCUCUGAAGCGGCGGAAAAUCUUUUUUGUUUUUGUUUUGCUUACGAAUCGCCAUGUUUGUGCCAACAGACGAGCAUUGCAACGCAGCGUCUCAUGAUGUAGAAUCGGGCCUUCUGUUCCUUGGCUAAGCUGCUGUACUUUCUUCCUAUGGAAGAAGAGCUCUUCUGCGAGUAACUUCGAGGGAGAUCGUGGGGGCUCUUGGAAUUGGAAGCUGGGAAGCUUUUCUGUGAAGAACAUCGCAACAAUGGCGAUUUGGAGGUCGAGCCACUCCUCAUGAACGAUGAAGAAUGGUGAGAGAGAGACAAACAGAGGCAUCCAUUCAAUCUGGGGAAGUGGAAGGAAAUAAUGGAAAGGAGACAGCUUGCUAGCUGUUUAUGACGUGGAAGAAGGGGGAAACAUGCAAUUAUUUGCCCAUUUUUGUUCUUAUUAGAAGAGAAGGGAUCUAUAACUCAACCUUUUCUUUCCCUCUGUCCUUUUGUUA